GUACUCACUUCGGUGGCACGUGUACCUAAGUCGGAACCAUACAGAGAGGGUUAGUAUGACCCCUAGGAGAGUAUGACACGCAAAAUCGAAAAAAAAGGAAAAUAGUG